GGGAACAUUGCCUGUGGAUGUCAUUACUUCAGUGCCUGUACCAUUUGCAUGCACAAAGUCUUUGGAGUUUCCAUGUUGCACAGAUUCUCCCUGGCUACCUGGCUGAGAGGAAAUCGAGGAGCUCCGUGGAGGCCUGGUCUGGAGCCCUGGCAGAUGUGAUGGGGAUGUUCGAGCCCUUCCUGCUCCCUAUCGAUGUCACUUGAAGAUCUGAUUGCCAACAUCAUAAAAACAGUGCUAGGAAAAACCACAAAAUAUUGCACAAGACCCAGGAGGACUGAAAGUUGAAGGAUUUCUUUCAGAGGAUAUAUUGUUUUCACUGGUGAGUAGGUGGAGCCAUUCCAUUUUUCCUGAUUACAGUCUAGAACAGCUCAAGUUGCUGUGACUGGAAUUCUGUUUCUAUGGAUCAUCUUGCUGAAAGAAUUUGACAGCAGCAGAGUUUUUCCCCAGUGCCCUUGUUGUAAAUUGUAUGUGUUUCA
rnacentral:lncRNA from 1 species